rnacentral:rRNA from 1 species
GAUGAACGCUGGCGGCGUGCCUUAUACAUGCAAGUCGAGUGGGUUUAGACCCACGGCAAACGGGUGAGUAACACGUAGGUACUUUCCUUGUCACAGGAAUAACCCUCCGAAAGGAGGGCUAAUACCUGAUGUGAUCGCAAGAUUAAAGGGUAUCCGCAAGGAUUACCGGACAAGAAGAGGCCUGCGGCCUAUCAGCUAGUUGGCGGGGUAAAUGCCCACCAAGGCUAUGACGGGUAGCUGGUCUUAUGAGGAUGAUCAGUCACAUGGGCACUGAGACACGGGCCCAACUCCUACGGGAGGCAGCAGUAGGGAAUUUUGCGCAAUGGGCGAAAGCCUGACGCAGCGACGCCGCGUGCGGGAGGAAGGCCUUCGGGUCGUAAACCGCUUUUAUAAGGGACGAACUUUGACGGUACCUUAUGAAUAAGAGGUUGCUAACUCUGUG